ACAAGCGGUGGAGCAUGUGGCUUAAUUCGAAGCAACGCGAAGAACCUUACCAGGUCUUGACAUCCCUGACAACCCAGAGAUUGGGCGUUCCCCUUCGGGGGACAGGGUGACAGGUGGUGCAUGGUUGUCGUCAGCUCGUGUCGUGAGAUGUUGGGUUAAGUCCCGCAACGAGCGCAACCCUCGCCUCUAGUUGCCAGCAUUCGGUUGGGCACUCUAGAGGGACUGCCGGCGACAAGUCGGAGGAAGGUGGGGAUGACGUCAAAUCAUCAUGCCCCUUAUGACCUGGGCUACACACGUGCUACAAUGGGCGGUACAAAGGGUCGCGAACCCGCGAGGGGGGAGCCAAUCCCAAAAAGCCGCUCUCAGUUCGGAUUGCAGGCUGCAACUCGCCUGCAUGAAGUCGGAAUCGCUAGUAAUCGCGGAUCAGCACGCCGCGGUGAAUACGUUCCCGGGCCUU
rnacentral:rRNA from 1 species